rnacentral:rRNA from 1 species
UACAGAGGUCUCAAGCGUUGUCCGGAUUUAUUGGGCGUAAAGAGCUCGUAGGCGGCUUGUCGCGUCGACUGUGAAAACCCGCGGCUCAACUGUGGGCUUGCAGUCGAUACGGGCAGACUAGAGUUCGGUAGGGGAGACUGGAAUUCCUGGUGUAGCGGUGAAAUGCGCAGAUAUCAGGAGGAACACCGGUGGCGAAGGCGGGUCUCUGGGCCGAUACUGACGCUGAGGAGCGAAAGCGUGGGGAGCGAACAGG